rnacentral:misc_RNA from 1 species
UCUUUGUGAAUCCAAAACAAGAUAUUGUGUCUCUUCAAGCCUUUCGGCUGAUUGUGCUCGCUGGGAUGAUUAUGAAAAUGAAAUUAGGCAAGAACUGAGGUGGCUUAAAGCAAAAUAUCAGAUGCAGUUAAGAGAGCUUAGAGGCCAACAGUUGAGUGUGGAUAAAAAAAAAGAUAGCGGAGUGCCUUUGCCUUCAAUUUUGCCUAAAGUAAAGACACAGAAAUAUAAACCCU